CGGGGUGCAGCAGGCGCGAAACCUUUUCAAUGCGCGCAAGCGUGAGAAGGGAAUUCCAAGUGCUUAAGUUUUACUUAGGCUUUUGCCAAGUGUAAAAAGCUUGGCGAAUAAGGGGUGGGUAAGACUGGUGCCAGCCGCCGCGGUAACACCAGCGCCUCGAGUGGGGAUCGCGAUUAUUGGGUCUAAAGCGUCCGUAGCAGGCUCCGUAAAUGCUUUGUGAAAUCGGCAGGCAUAACCUGUCGGCGUGCAGAGUAGACUGCGGGGCUCGAGACCGGGAGAUGUCAGAAGUAUUCCUAGGGUACCGGUAAAAUGGGUUAAUCCUGGGAGGACUACCGAUGGCGAAGGCAUCUGACAAGAACGGUUCUGACUGUGAGGGACGAAAGCUAGGGGAGCGGAACGGAUUAGAUACCCGAGUAGUCCUAGCUGUAAACGCUGUGAGCAAGGUAUUGCGCCUCCCACGAGGAUGCGCAGUGUCGAAACGAAGGUGUUAAGCUCACCACCAGGGAAGUACGGUCGCAAGGCUGAAACUUUAAGGAAUU
rnacentral:rRNA from 1 species